GCUCCAGUAGAGUAGUAGUUAACUCAUUUCCCUCCCAUUUCUCUCGGGUUAAGGAAGGAAAGGACCUGGGUGCAAAUCCCGGCUGGUGCA
rnacentral:tRNA from 1 species